UACGUAGGGUGCGAGCGUUAAUCGGAAUUACUGGGCGUAAAGCGUGCGCAGGCGGUGAUGUAAGACAGAUGUGAAAUCCCCGGGCUCAACCUGGGACCUGCAUUUGUGACUGCAUAGCUAGAGUACGGCAGAGGGGGAUGGAAUUCCGCGUGUAGCAGUGAAAUGCGUAGAUAUGCGGAGGAACACCGAUGGCGAAGGCAAUCCCCUGGGCCUGUACUGACGCUCAUGCACGAAAGCGUGGGGAGCAAACAGG
rnacentral:rRNA from 1 species